rnacentral:rRNA from 1 species
UACAGAGGGUGCGAGCGUUGUCCGGAAUCACUGGGCGUAAAGGGUGCGCAGGCGGCCAAGUGUGUUAGGCGUGAAAGCCCGGGGCUUAACCCCGGAAUUGCACCUAAAACUACAUGGCUAGAGCAUUGGAGAGGGUAGCAGAAUUCAUGGUGUAGCAGUGAAAUGCGUAGAUAUCAUGAGGAAUACCAGAGGCGAAGGCGGCUACCUGGACAAUUGCUGACGCUCAGGCACGAAAGCGUGGGGAGCAAAAGGG